rnacentral:rRNA from 1 species
UGGGGAAUUUUGGACAAUGGGGGCAACCCUGAUCCAGCAAUGCCGCGUGUGUGAAGAAGGCCUUCGGGUUGUAAAGCACUUUUGUCCGGAAAGAAAACGCCGUGGUUAAUACCCGUGGCGGAUGACGGUACCGGAAGAAUAAGCACCGGCUAACUACGUGCCAGCAGCCGCGGUAAUACGUAGGGUGCAAGCGUUAAUCGGAAUUACUGGGCGUAAAGCGUGCGCAGGCGGUCCGCUAAGACAGAUGUGAAAUCCCCGGGCUUAACCUGGGAACUGCAUUUGUGACUGGCGGGCUAGAGUAUGGCAGAGGGGGGUAGAAUUCCACGUGUAGCAGUGAAAUGCGUAGAGAUGUGGAGGAAUACCGAUGGCGAAGGCAGCCCCCUGGGCCAAUACUGACGCUCAUGCACGAAAGCGUGGGGGAGCAAACAGGAUUAGAUACCCUGGUAGUCCACGCCCUAAACGAUGUCAACUAGUUGUCGGGUCUUCAUUGACUUGGUAACGUAGCUAACGCGUGAAGUUGACCGCCUGGGGAGUACGGUCGCAAGAUUAAAACUCAAAUGAAUUGACGGGGUCAUAGCUGUUUCCUG